rnacentral:rRNA from 1 species
UACAGAGGGUGCGAGCGUUAAUCGGAAUUAUUGGGCGUAAAGAGCUCGUAGGCGGUUUGUUGCGUCGGCUGUGAAAACCUGGGGCUCAACCUCAGGCCUGCAGUCGAUACGAGCAGACUAGAGUGUUGCAGGGGAGACUGGAAUUCCUGGUGUAGCGGUGAAAUGCGCAGAUAUCAGGAGGAACACCGGUGGCGAAGGCGGGUCUCUGGGCAACAACUGACGCUGAGGAGCGAAAGCGUGGGGAGCGAACAGG